UAGAGGAAGUAAAAGUCGUAACAAGGUUUCCGUAGGUGAACCUGCGGAAGGAUCAUUAUCGAGUUUUUGAAACGGGUUGUCGCUGGUCCCGUUCUUAACAGAGUCGGGACAUGUGCACACCUGGCUUCAUUCCACUCUUCAACCCCUGUGCACUUGUUGUAGGUUUCAGGUCGGACGCGGGGCUUUCGACUUCAUCGUCGAGAGCUUCAAGGAAAGCCUGAGCCUAUGUUUUACUACACACACGCUUCAGUUAUAGAAUGUAAACAUCGCGUAUAACGCAUUUUAAAUACAACUUUCAGCAACGGAUCUCUUGGCUCUCGCAUCGAUGAAGAACGCAGCGAAAUGCGAUAAGUAAUGUGAAUUGCAGAAUUCAGUGAAUCAUCGAAUCUUUGAACGCACCUUGCGCUCCUUGGUAUUCCGAGGAGCAUGCCUGUUUGAGUGUCAUGGAAUUCUCAACCUUUGAAAGCUUUAUUGGUUUCCAAAGGCUUGGACUUGGAGGUCGUGUCGGCUCUGCAAAGAAUCGACUCCUCUGAAACGUAUCAGUGCGAACCUUUACGGAUCGUCUUCGGUGUGAUAAACGUCUACGCCGUGGUCGUGAAGUAUGAUCGUGUUCGUGCUUCUAACCGUCUCCUUUGCGAGACAAAAACUGUGUUACUAAGUAACAUGGGCAUUUUGACAAUCUGACCUCAAAUCAG
rnacentral:rRNA from 1 species